rnacentral:rRNA from 1 species
CCCUUAGAUGUUCUGGGCCGCACGCGCGCUACACUGAUGCAUUCAACGGGUCUAAAACCUGGUCUGAUAGGGCUGGGUAAUCUUUUGAAUGUGCAUCGUGAUUGGGAUAGAUGAUUGCAAUUCUUCAUCUUCAACGAGGAAUGCCUAGUAAACGCAAGUCAUCAGCUUGCAUUGAUUACGUCCCUGCCCUUUGUACACACCGCCCGUCGCUCCUACCGAUUGAAUGUUCCGAUGAAUACCAUGGACUGAGAGUAUGAAUGGGUUCGCCUAUUUCUGCUUCUCGGGAAGUGGAGUAAAUCUUAACAUUUAGAGGAAGGAGAAGUCGUAACA